GACGAACGCUGGCGGCGUGCUUAACACAUGCAAGUCGAACGGUAAGGCCCCUUCGGGGGUACACGAGUGGCGAACGGGUGAGUAACACGUGAGCAACCUGCCCUUGACUCUGGAAUAACAGUUGGAAACAGCUGCUAAUACUGGAUAUUCAUCGUCUCCUUCCUGGGGGGUGGUGGAAAGCUCCGGCGGUCAGGGAUGGGCUCGCGGCCUAUCAGCUUGUUGGUGAGGUAAUGGCUCACCAAGGCUUCGACGGGUAGCCGGCCUGAGAGGGCGACCGGCCACACUGGGACUGAGAUGCGGCCCAGACUCCUACGGGAGGCAGCAGUGGGGAAUAUUGCACAAUGGGCGCAAGCCUGAUGCAGCAACGCCGCGUGCGGGAUGACGGCCUUCGGGUUGUAAACCGCUUUCAGUAGGGACGAAGGGUGACUGACGGUACCUACAGAAGAAGGACCGGCUAACUACGUG
rnacentral:rRNA from 1 species